rnacentral:rRNA from 1 species
GACGAACGCUGGCGGCGUGCUUAACACAUGCAAGUCGAACGGAAAGGCCCUGCUUUUGUGGGGUGCUCGAGUGGCGAACGGGUGAGUAACACGUGAGUAACCUGCCCUUGACUUUGGGAUAACUUCAGGAAACUGGGGCUAAUAUCGGAUAGGAGCUCCUGCUGCAUGGUGGGGGUUGGAAAGUUUCGGCGGUUGGGGAUGGACUCGCGGCUUAUCAGCUUGUUGGUGGGGUAGUGGCUUACCAAGGCUUUGACGGGUAGCCGGCCUGAGAGGGUGACCGGCGACAUUGGGACUGCGAUACGGCCCAGACUCCUACGGGGGGCAGCAGUGGGGAAUAUGGCCCAAUGGGCGGAAGCCUGAUGCAGAAACGCCGCGUGCGGGAUGCCGGCCUUCGGGUUGUAAACCGCUUUCGCCUGUGACGAAGCGUGAGUGACGGUAAUGGGUAAAGAAGCACCGGCUAACUACGUG